rnacentral:rRNA from 1 species
ACUCCUACGGGAGGCAGCAGUGGGGAAGUAUUGCACAAUGGGCGCAAGCCUGAUGCAGCCAUGCCGCGUGUGUGAAGAAGGCCUUCGGGUUGUAAAGCACUUUCAGUCGUGAGGAAGGUAGUGUAGUUAAUAGCUGCAUUAUUUGUACGUUAGCGACAGAAGAAGCACCGGCUAACUCCGUGCCAGCAGCCGCGGUAAUACGGAGGGUGCGAGCGUUAAUCGGAAUUACUGGGCGUAAAGCGCAUGCAGGUGGUUUGUUAAGUCAGAUGUGAAAGCCCGGGGCUCAACCUCGGAAUUGCAUUUGAAACUGGCAGACUAGAGUACUGUAGAGGGGGUAGAAUUUCAGGUGUAGCGGUGAAAUGCGUAGAGAUCUGAAGGAAUACCGGUGGCGAAGGCGGCCCCUGGACAGAUACUGACACUCAGAUGCGAAAGCGUGGGAGCAAACAGGAUUAGAUACCCCUGGUAGCGACUGA